UACGAAGGGGGCUAGCGUUGCUCGGAAUCACUGGGCGUAAAGGGUGCGUAGGCGGGUUUUUAAGUCAGAGGUGAAAUCCUGGAGCUCAACUCCAGAACUGCCUUUGAUACUGAAGAUCUUGAGUUCGGGAGAGGUGAGUGGAACUGCGAGUGUAGAGGUGAAAUUCGUAGAUACCCGGAGGAACACCAGUGGCGAAGGCGGCUUCCUGGUCUGCGACUGACGCUGUGGCGCGAAAGCUAGGGGAGCAAACGGG
rnacentral:rRNA from 1 species